GAUGAACGCUGGCGGCGUGCCUAAUACAUGCAAGUCGAGCGAACAGAUAAGGAGCUUGCUCCUUUGACGUUAACGGCGGACGGGUGAGUAACACGUGGGUAACCUACCUAUAAGACUGGGAUAACUUCGGGAAACCGGAGCUAAUACCGGAUAAUAUUUCGAACCGCAUGGUUCGAUAGUGAAAGAUGGUUUUGCUAUCACUUAUAGAUGGACCCGCGCCGUAUUAGCUAGUUGGUAAGGUAACGGCUUACCAAGGCGACGAUACGUAGCCGACCUGAGAGGGUGAUCGGCCACACUGGAACUGAGACACGGUCCAGACUCCUACGGGAGGCAGCAGUAGGGAAUCUUCCGCAAUGGGCGAAAGCCUGACGGAGCAACGCCGCGUGAGUGAUGAAGGUCUUCGGAUCGUAAAACUCUGUUAUUAGGGAAGAACAUACGUGUAAGUAACUGUGCACGUCUUGACGGUACCUAAUCAGAAAGCCACGGCUAACUACGUG
rnacentral:rRNA from 1 species